rnacentral:sRNA from 1 species
AAGUAGGGGAUUGUUGUAAUUUGGUCUUCAAUUUAUAAUUAUAAA